GCGGCUACACAUGCAGUCGAGCGGUAGCACAGAGAGCUUGCUCUCGGGUGACGAGCGGCGGACGGGUGAGUAAUGUCUGGGAAACUGCCUGAUGGAGGGGGAUAACUACUGGAAACGGUAGCUAAUACCGCAUAACGUCGCAAGACCAAAGUGGGGGACCUUCGGGCCUCAUGCCAUCAGAUGUGCCCAGAUGGGAUUAGCUAGUAGGUGGGGUAAUGGCUCACCUAGGCGACGAUCCCUAGCUGGUCUGAGAGGAUGACCAGCCACACUGGAACUGAGACACGGUCCAGACUCCUACGGGAGGCAGCAGUGGGGAAUAUUGCACAAUGGGCGCAAGCCUGAUGCAGCCAUGCCGCGUGUAUGAAGAAGGCCUUCGGGUUGUAAAGUACUUUCAGCGAGGAGGAAGGCGUUAAGGUUAAUAACCUUGGCGAUUGACGUUACUCGCAGAAGAAGCACCGGCUAACUCCGUGCCAGCAGCCGCGGUAAUACGGAGGGUGCAAGCGUUAAUCGGAAUUACUGGGCGUAAAGCGCACGCAGGCGGUCUGUCAAGUCGGAUGUGAAAUCCCCGGGCUCAACCUGGGAACUGCAUUCGAAACUGGCAGGCUAGAGUCUUGUAGAGGGGGGUAGAAUUCCAGGUGUAGCGGUGAAAUGCGUAGAGAUCUGGAGGAAUACCGGUGGCGAAGGCGGCCCCCUGGACAAAGACUGACGCUCAGGUGCGAAAGCGUGGGGAGCAAACAGGAUUAGAUACCCUGGUAGUCCACGCCGUAAACGAUGUCGACUUGGAGGUUGUGCCCUUGAGGCGUGGCUUCCGGAGCUAACGCGUUAAGUCGACCGCCUGGGGAGUACGGCCGCAAGGUUAAAACUCAAAUGAAUUGACGGGGGCCCGCACAAGCGGUGGAGCAUGUGGUUUAAUUCGAUGCAACGCGAAGAACCUUACCUACUCUUGACAUCCAGAGAACUUAGCAGAGAUGCUUUGGUGCCUUCGGGAACUCUGAGACAGGUGCUGCAUGGCUGUCGUCAGCUCGUGUUGUGAAAUGUUGGGUUAAGUCCCGCAACGAGCGCAACCCUUAUCCUUUGUUGCCAGCGGUCCGGCCGGGAACUCAAAGGAGACUGCCAGUGAUAAACUGGAGGAAGGUGGGGAUGACGUCAAGUCAUCAUGGCCCUUACGAGUAGGGCUACACACGUGCUACAAUGGCAUAUACAAAGAGAAGCGACCUCGCGAGAGCAAGCGGACCUCAUAAAGUAUGUCGUAGUCCGGAUUGGAGUCUGCAACUCGACUCCAUGAAGUCGGAAUCGCUAGUAAUCGUAGAUCAGAAUGCUACGGUGAAUACGUUCCCGGGCCUUGUACACACCGCCCGUCACACCAUGGGAGUGGGUUGCAAAAGAAGUAGGUAGCUUAACCUUCGGGAGGGCGCUACCACUUGAU
rnacentral:rRNA from 1 species